GCCGGGCGCGGUGGCGCGCGCCUGUAGUCCCAGCUACUCGGGAGGCUGAGGCUGGAGGAUCGCUUGAGCUCAGGAGUUCUGGGCUGCAGUGCGCUAUGCCGAUCGGGUGUCCGCACUAAGUUCGGCAUCAAUAUGGUGACCUCCCGGGAGCGGGGGACCACCAGGUUGCCUAAGGAGGGGUGAACCGGCCCAGGUCGGAAACGGAGCAGGUCAAAACUCCCGUGCUGAUCAGUAGUGGGAUCGCGCCUGUGAAUAGCCACUGUACUCCAGCCUGGGCAACAUAGCGAGACCCCGUCUCUU
ensembl:misc_RNA Metazoa_SRP Metazoan signal recognition particle RNA